rnacentral:rRNA from 1 species
UACGUAGGGUGCGAGCGUUAAUCGGAAUUACUGGGCGUAAAGCGUGCGCAGGCGGUGAUGUAAGACAGAUGUGAAAUCCCCGGGCUCAACCUGGGAACUGCAUUUGUGACUGCAUCGCUGGAGUACGGCAGAGGGGGAUGGAAUUCCGCGUGUAGCAGUGAAAUGCGUAGAUAUGCGGAGGAACACCGAUGGCGAAGGCAAUCCCCGUGGGCCUGUACUGACGCUCAUGCACGAAAGCGUGGGGAGCAAACAGG